rnacentral:rRNA from 1 species
GUGGGGAAUAUUGGACAAUGGGGGGAACCCUGAUCCAGCCAUGCCGCGUGUGUGAAGAAGGCCUUUUGGUUGUAAAGCACUUUAAGCGAGGAGGAGGCUCUUCUAGUUAAUACCUAGGAUGAGUGGACGUUACUCGCAGAAUAAGCACCGGCUAACUCUGUGCCAGCAGCCGCGGUAAUACAGAGGGUGCGAGCGUUAAUCGGAUUUACUGGGCGUAAAGCGUACGUAGGCGGCUUUUUAAGUCGGAUGUGAAAUCCCUGAGCUUAACUUAGGAAUUGCAUUCGAUACUGGGAAGCUAGAGUAUGGGAGAGGAUGGUAGAAUUCCAGGUGUAGCGGUGAAAUGCGUAGAGAUCUGGAGGAAUACCGAUGGCGAAGGCAGCCAUCUGGCCUAAUACUGACGCUGAGGUACGAAAGCAUGGGGAGCAAACAGGAUUAGAUACCCGGGUAGUCC